CGCCUAUACACAAAAGCAAAAAUGUCCGUUUAUACAAAUAUACGGCGUUUCGGUUUUGUUGGCGGGGGGUGCGUGUGUGUGGAUAACGGCUCACAUAACGUGUCGCGAUGGAUGACUUGGCUUCCUAUUUCGUUGAAGAACGCAGUAAAGUGCGAUAAGUGGUAUCAAUUGCAGAAUCAUUCAAUUACCGAAUCUUUGAACGCAAACGGCGCAUGGGAGAAG
rnacentral:rRNA from 1 species